rnacentral:snoRNA from 1 species
AUCCCAUGGUGAGGACAAGCUCUUGUAUAUCCUUUCAUACGUUCCCACGUGUCAUACAAACUCUCUUCUUCGCCUUGCUCAAAUCUAGUUAUAUCGUUCCUUAUCUU